AACGGCUACUAAGGAGGACAUAUA
rnacentral:siRNA from 1 species